rnacentral:snRNA from 1 species
AGCUGUGCGCAGUGGCGGUACCAUAGCCAAUGAGGAAUUUCCGAGGCGUGGUUAUUGCUAGUCUAUAUAAUCUUUAAAUGAGAAUAAGCAGUAGAUAGAAUAUUAAUUAAAUAAGAACACUAAUAUGAAUAUAUGUUGUUGUUACUCGUCC